rnacentral:rRNA from 1 species
AUUGAACGCUGGCGGCAGGCUUAACACAUGCAAGUCGAGCGGAGCGAGGGUGCUUGCACCUUAGCUUAGCGGCGGACGGGUGAGUAAUGCUUAGGAAUCUGCCUAUUAGUGGGGGACAACAUUCCGAAAGGAAUGCUAAUACCGCAUACGCCCUACGGGGGAAAGCAGGGGAUCUUCGGACCUUGCGCUAAUAGCUGAGCCUAAGUCGGAUUAGCUAGUUGGUGGGGUAAAGGCCUACCAAGGCGACGAUCUGUAGCGGGUCUGAGAGGAUGAUCCGCCACACUGGGACUGAGACACGGCCCAGACUCCUACGGGAGGCAGCAGUGGGGAAUUUUGGACAAUGGGCGAAAGCCUGAUCCAGCCAUGCCGCGUGUCUGAAGAAGGCCUUCGGGUUGUAAAGGACUUUUGUCAGGGAGGAAAUCCCUAGCGUUAAUACCGCUGGGGGAUGACAGUACCUGAAGAAUAAGCACCGGCUAACUACGUGCCAGCAGCCGCCGUAA